rnacentral:lncRNA from 1 species
UAACUUCUGUUCUUUUUUGUAGCAGUGGAAUCCCACGGUGAUAUCUGAGGGAUGUGGUUACCUUUUGGAGGAGGUUGACGGUUUCUAAGGAUGAUUCUUUCUGAGUGAAAUAUUGUCAGUGUCAUUGACCUUUUCAUUAUUUCAACUAUUAUUAUUCCAGGUUAUCAAUACUCUGGCUGACCAUCGUCAUCGUGGGACUGACUUUGGUGGAAGUCCUUGGUUACUUAUCAUUACUGUGUUUCUGAGAAGUUAUAAAUUUGCCAUCUCCCUCUGCACAACUUACCUUUGGGUUAUCAAUACUCUGGCUGACCAUCGUCAUCGUGGGACUGACUUUGGUGGAAGUCCUUGGUUACUUAUCAUUACUGUGUUUCUGAGAAGUUAUAAAUUUGCCAUCUCCCUCUGCACAACUUACCUUUGUGUGUCUUUCCUGAAGACUAUCUUCCCGUCUCAAAAUGGACAUGAUGGAUCCACGGAUGUACAGCAGAGAGCCAGGAGGUCCAACCGCCGUAGACAGGAAGGAAUUAAAAUUGUCCUGGAAGACAUCUUUACUUUAUGGAGACAGGUGGAAACCAAGG